rnacentral:rRNA from 1 species
CCUACGGGAGGCAGCAGUGGGGAAUAUUGCACAAUGGGGGAAACCCUGAUGCAGCGACGCCGCGUGAGUGAAGAAGUAAUUAGUUAUGUAAAGCUUUAUCAGUAGGGAAGAAAAUGACGGUACCUGAGUAAGAAGCCCCGGCUAACAACGUGCCAGCAGCCGCGGCAAUACGUAGGGGGCCAGCGUUAUACGGAUUUACUGGGUGUUAAGGGAGCGUAGACGGCUGUGCAAGUCUGGAGUGAAAGGCGGGGGCUCAACCCCCGGACUGCUCUGGAAACUGUACGGCUGGAGUGCAGGAGAGGUAAGUGGAAUUCCUAGUGUAGCGGUGAAAUGCUUAGAUAUUAGGAGGAACACCAGUGGCGAAGGCGGCUUACUGGACUGUAACUGACGUUGAGGCUCGAAAGCGUGGGUAGCAAACAGGAUUAGAUACCCUAGUAGUC